rnacentral:lncRNA from 1 species
UGAAGAAUAUAGUCAACCACUUCCACGUUACAGGUGAGGAACCUGAGGCACCAGUGUUUGAGUAACUAGUCCAAGGUUAUAAAACCAAUAAGUGAAGGAGCUGGACUGUGACCCAAGAAGUUUGCCUCAAGAACUCUCACUCUAAAUUGCUAAAAAUGACUUCCACAAUGUAAAUUUUCUUUUAUGUAAACAUUGUUUCCUAAGUAAAAAUGGUAAAAUAGCCAAUAAUUUGUGAACAAAAACAAAGUGAAGAAAUCAAGCAGGUGCUAUUGUGAACACUAACUUAGACUACUUAAUAAAAUCAUAGAAAG